ensembl:lincRNA Gm29513 predicted gene 29513
CUCUGCUGGCACCAAGUGCUUGUGCAGAGGAACUGACCCAAAGUAUAAUUUCCUUCAGCCACAUAUUAGUAACCUAUUCAGAAUAUGCUUAAUGUGAAAAAAAGCUUUCCUUUUAGGAAAAUAAAAACACUUUAUGAAGGACCCUGAAUGUGCUCCAAUGAUUCUAGACAAAGAACUCCAUUUCUAGAAGAUUCAAAAAUCU